UGACCCCCGCCCUCUGAUUCCUCCCAGGUGGUUGGAAGCUGUGGUCCCUUUGGGGCGAGUGCACGCGGGACUGCGGGGGAGGCCUGCAGACGCGGACGCGCACCUGCCUGCCGGCUCCCGGCACCGAAGGCGGUGGCUGCGAGGGGGUGCUGGAGGAGGGCCGUCUGUGCAACCGCAAGGCCUGCGGCCCAGCGGGUGGCACCAGCUCCCGGAGCCAGUCCCUGCGGUCCACGGACGCCCGGCGGCGCGAGGAGCUGGGGGAUGAGCUGCAGCACUUCGGGUUCCCGUCCCCACAGACAGGCGACCCCGCGGCCGAGGAGUGGUCCCCGUGGAGCGUGUGCUCCAGCACCUGCGGCGAGGGCUGGCAGACCCGCACGCGCUUCUGCGUGUCCUCCUCCUACAGCACGCAGUGCAGCGGGCCUCUCCGCGAGCAGCGGCUGUGCAACAACUCGGCGGUGUGUCCAGGUGGGCCGGG